ACCGGCGCGUUCUGGAGAACAACACGGACUCCAAACCCGUGAAGGAGAGUUCGAUUCUGCUCCGCCGGUGCCA
rnacentral:tRNA from 1 species